UACGUAGGUGACCAGCGUUGUCCGGAUUUACUGGGCGUAAAGAGCGCGCAGGCGGUCGUUCAAGUCGAGUGUGAAAGCCCCCGGCUCAACUGGGGAGGGUCAUUCGAUACUGAUCGACUGGAAGGCAGGAGAGGGAAGCGGAAUUCCCGGUGUAGUGGUGAAAUGCGUAGAUAUCCGGAGGAACACCGGUGGCGAAGGCGGCUUCCUGGACCGACACUGACGCUGAGGCGCGAAAGCUAGGGGAGCAAACAGG
rnacentral:rRNA from 1 species